AGUGAUUUAGCUCAGCGGCAUAAGCACCUGCCUUGCAAGCAGGUGGUCGUGAGUUCGAUCCCCGCUACCAAUA
rnacentral:tRNA from 1 species